UACGAAGGGGACUAGCGUUGUUCGGAAUCACUGGGCGUAAAGCGCACGUAGGCGGAUAUGUCAGUCAGGGGUGAAAUCCCGGGGCUCAACCUCGGAACUGCCUUUGAUACAGCAUAUCUUGAGUCCGAUAGAGGUGGGUGGAAUUCCUAGUGUAGAGGUGAAAUGCGCAGAUAUCGGGAAGAACACCCGUGGCGAAGGCGGCUCUCUGGGACGGUACUGACGCUGAGACGCGAAA
rnacentral:rRNA from 1 species